rnacentral:lncRNA from 1 species
CUCGUUUACUGCGCAUAAGGAAGCAAAGGUAAACCACUUCCAUAUUUUUACCAAGGAAACUGUAUGGAUACACGAGGAAAAUGAUUGCAGACAGAGGUUGGCCGUUCUGGGAGAGAUGUGUCUACGGGCGUCGCUAUGUGUCAGAGACGACUCAACGGCUUAAGACAGCAACAGACCUGACACACGACACAGGACCCCCACCUCUGGCCCGAACCUGAGGCCUGUGGGCCUC